rnacentral:rRNA from 1 species
CCUACGGGAGGCAGCAGUGAGGAAUAUUGGUCAAUGGUCGGGAGACUGAACCAGCCAAGCCGCGUGAGGGAUGAAGGUACAGAGUAUCGUAAACCUCUUUUGUCAGGGAACAAAGGCGGGUACGUGUCCCCGGCUGAGUGUACCUGAAGAAUAAGCAUCGGCUAACUCCGUGCCAGCAGCCGCGGUAAUCCGGAGGAUUCGAGCGUUAUCCGGAUUUAUUGGGUUUAAGGGGUGCGCAGGCGGUCUGUAAAGUCAGCGGUAAAAGCCCGGGGCUCAACCCCGGCACGCCGUUGAAACUGGCAGGCUAGAGUGGGAGAGAAGUAUGCGGAAUGCGCGGUGUAGCGGUGAAAUGCAUAGAUAUCGCGCAGAACUCCGAUUGCGAAGGCAGCAUGCCGGCUCCAAACUGACGCUGAGGCACGAAAGCGUGGGUAUCGAACAGGAUUAGAUACCCCUGUAGUC